UUAUUAUUUAUUAUGAAGAUAUUGGAGUUAUGUUAAAAAAAAAAGUAGGAAUAAAGAGGAAGCAGUGAAUUCGUUUAAACAAAAUUGAGGAUUCACUGCCUGCAUAGAAAUAAAAGCCUUCCAAGCAAAAUGAUUUAUAAAUAAAAGACGAGUAACUACCAUGUAUUAUAAAUGAUGCCUUCAGCCUGCAAUGCAAUGUGUUUAUUUAAGGAGUAAAUGCAGAAAUGUUUUAGGGAGAUGGGCCUCAAUGAGCUCAUGUGGGAGCAGAGAGCCCUGACUACGAGGAGGCCUCCGUGAUCCCUCAGCAGAGCACACGCUCCUGCACUGACCAGAACCACGCCACGAAAUCGGACCCCAGGAACCCUCGCAGAUAGAAUCCAGCACCUUCCUUCAUCCAAGUUUGAUGAGUUUGCUG
rnacentral:lncRNA from 1 species